CCAGAGAUUCGACUAUUCGGCGGGGUUUGUUUACCGGCGUUGCUAUGGUGACCUCAAUUAUUAUAAGCAACUGAAAACGAUGCCGGUUUGAAACUAAAACUGUGAUUCUGAAAAAGAUAUUAAUGCUAUAAAAAUUCCGUUUUGAUAGUAUUGAAGAUACAAGUGUGUAGAUUUGUUUAAUGGUUUGAACGAUGGUAAAGGGUUGAAAAAUGAAUGAGUUACGAUCAGUGCCGCCGCUCCCAUAACGCGCACUACGCGCUGCGCGUAGGGCCUCAAGUCCUGAGGGGGACCCCAAAAAUA